UACAGAGGUCUCAAGCGUUGUUCGGAUUCAUUGGGCGUAAAGGGUGCGUAGGCGGCGCGGUAAGUCGGGUGUGAAAUCUUGGAGCUUAACUCCGAAACUGCAUUCGAUACUGCCGUGCUUGAGGACUGGAGAGGAGACUGGAAUUUACGGUGUAGUGGUGAAAUGCGUAGAUAUCGGGAGGAACACCAGUGGCGAAGGCGGCUUCCUGGCCUGUUCUUGACGCUGAGGCGCGAAAGCUAGGGGAGCAAACGGG
rnacentral:rRNA from 1 species